ensembl:lncRNA
CUCUGUCUCCUCCCCAGACUCUCUGUCACCUCCCCAGACUCUCUACUCUCUGUCUCCUCCCCAGACUCUCUGUCUCCUCCCCAGACUCUCUGUCUCCUCCCCAGACUCUCUGUCUCCUCCCCAGACUCUCUGUCUCCUCCCCAGACUCUCUGUCUCCUCCCCAGACUCUCCGUCUCCUCCCCAGACUCUCCGUCUCCUCCCCAGACUCUCCGUCUCCUCCCCAGACUCUCCGUCUCCUCCCCAGACUCUCCGUCUCCUCCCCCCAGACUCUCCGUCUCCUCCCCAGACACCGGCCCCUCCGUCUCCUCCCCAGCCACCGUCUCCUCCCCAGCCACCGACCUCUCCGUCUCCUCCCCAGCCUCUCCGUCUCCUCCCCAGCCUCCGUCUCCUCCCCAGCCACCGGCCCCUCCGUCUCCUCCCCAGCCUCUCCGUCUCCUCCCCAGCCUCUCCGUCUCCUCCCCAGCCACCGACCCCUCCGUCUCCUCUCUAUCCACCAGAGAGAAGGAGUCUUAUGCCACCAUGCUCUGAUAGUAGGGUCACUUUAACUGGGUCAUUCUCGGUGGGGUGGGGAGAGGAGUGUAGGGCGACCUGGACAUGCAUUAAUGGACAUGACGUCGGCUUCCACAUUGUGUGUGUAUUAUAUACUGAACAAAAAUAUAAAUGCAACAUGAUUUUUCUGAAUAACAGUUCAUAUGAGGAAAUCAGUGAAUUGAAAUAAAUUCAUUAGGCCCUAAUCUAUUGAUUUCACAUGACUGGGAAUACAGAUAUGCAUCUAUUGGUCACAGAUACCUCAGGAGCUUGUCACAGUAUUUCUCUACAUUCAAAUUGGCAUCGAUAAAAUGCAAUUUUGUUUGUUGUCCGUAAACUUACACCUGCCCAUACCAUAACCCCACCGCCACCAUGGGGCAAACCACUUGCCCACACGACGCCAUACAUGGGGUCUGCACGUUUUAGAGUGGAUUUGUAUUGUCCCCCAGCACAAGGUACACCUGUGUAAUGAUCAUGCUAUUUAAUCAGCUUCUUCAUAUGCCACACCUGUCAGGUGGAUGGAUUAUCUUGGCAAAGGAGAAAUGCUCAGUAACAGGGAUGUAGACAGAUUAGUGAACAAAAUUUGAGAGAAAUACGCGUCUUUUUUUUUUUUUUGGCGCAUGGAAAAUGUCUGGGAUCUUCUCUUUUAGCUCAUGAAACAUGGGACCAACAUUUUACAUGUUGCCUUUAAAAAAAAAAAUUGUUAAGUAUAUAUUGUACGAGUUUAGACUGUGUAGAGACCAUAACUAACAAUCACAUUUCGUUAACACUGGGUCACCUGUCCAUCAGUGGCUCGAUCAACUUCACUUUUACAUUUUAGAGAAGUGGUGGGUCUGAUAUUCUUCCUGAGUUCUGAGCCAUGUUCUACCAUUCAGUUUGGACCAUGAUUUGACCGCUGUAGGUGUUUCGACACGGUGCCCUCCUCGGGCAGCGACAAGAUAUCUGUGUUGCGACUUGCCACGGUUCGUAGGUCCACAGCUGCCAUGUCAACAGGUUAUCUUAUACAGAAACACACACCAAAGCUUCAAAAGAACGUUGACUAGUUUAUCGUUGUGUACUGUAGACCGUGUGAACCAUUGCCUCCCUAACCAUGUACUGAUAAAAGGCACAUGGUAUUCUGCUUAUGGACUAAACACUUGCGCUGCUUACAGAUUUUUGGUUUUCUUUGUUGCGUUUUUCCUAGGAUUUUUGUUUGUAGUUUUCAUAAGACUAGUGAAAUAUGAGAAGCAUGUGACUAGAUAGAAAGGGAGCAGUGGACCACACUAUGAAAGAUGUGUGUUUUAAUGAAGGGUAAACACUGAUUACACCUAGACCUACCCAGACUGUUACCGUGGAUACGGUAUAGCAGGGUUCUGACACUGAUUACACCUAGACCUACCUAGACUGUUACCGUGGAUACGGUAUAGCAGGGUUCUGACACUGAUUACACCUAGACCUACCUAGACUGUUACCGUGGAUACGGUAAAGCAGGGUUCUGACACUGAUUUACACCUAGACCUACCCAUACUGUUACCGUGGAUACAGUAUAGCAGGGAUCUGACACUGAUUACACCUAGACCUACCUAGACUGUUACCGUGGAUACAGUAUAGCAGGGAUCUGACACUGAUUACACCUAGACCUACCUAGACUGUUACCGUGGAUACAGUAUAGCAGGGUUCUGACACUGAUUACACCUAGACCUACCCAUACUGUUACCGUGGAUACAGUAUAGCAGGGUUCUGACACUGAUUACACCUAGACCUAGCUAGACUGUUACCGUGGAUACGGUAUAGCAGGGUUCUGACACUGAUUAGACCUAGCUAGACUGUUACCGUGGAUACAGUAUAGCAGGGUUCUGACACUGACACUGAUUACACCUAGACCUAGCUAGACUGUUACCGUGGAUACGGUAUAGCAGGGUUCUGACACUGAUUAGACCUAGCUAGACUGUUACCGUGGAUACGGAAUAGCAGGGUUCUGACACUGAUUACACCUAGACCUACCUAGACUGUUACCGUGGAUACGGAAUAGCAGGGUUCUGACACUGAUUACACCUAGACCUACCUAG